GAUGAACGCUAGCGGCAGGCCUAAUACAUGCAAGCCGAACGGCAAGUUUGAUAGCAAUAUUGGACCUAGAGUGGCGCAAGGGUGCGUAACACGUAUGCAACCUGCCCGCGACAGGAGGAUAGCUCCCCGAAAGGGGAAUUAACCCUCCAUAACACCAUGAGAAGGCAUCUGAUUAUGGUUAAACCGCAAGGGGUCGCGGAUGGGCAUGCGGUUGAUUAGCUAGUUGGCGGGGUAAAGGCCCACCAAGGCGGUGAUCAAUAGGGGUUCUGAGAGGAAGGUCCCCCACACUGGCACUGAGAUACGGGCCAGACUCCUACGGGAGGCAGCAGUAGGGAAUAUUGGACAAUGGUUGCAAGACUGAUCCAGCCAUGCCGCGUGCAGGAAGAAGGCCUUCUGGGUCGUAAACUGCCUUUUCCUGCGGAUAAAAUACCCGGGCGCGGGGAAUUGAAGGUAACAGGGGAAUAAGCCACGGCUAACUACGUG
rnacentral:rRNA from 1 species